UUUGGUGGCGAUGCGUUUUUGGGAAACACCCGUUCUCGUCCCGAACACGAUGGUUAAGACUUAAACGGCCGAUGAUACUAUACUGGUAACGGUAUGGGAAGGUAGGUGGCUGCCGGAU
rnacentral:rRNA from 1 species